rnacentral:lncRNA from 1 species
UUUGAUAGCAAAGGAAAUCUACGUCAACAUGUGCAUUUCGUGGAAACCUACAAUAGUGUUGACAAUUAUGGAGUGUAAUAGGCCCAAUUUGCCCGGAGGGCCUACAAUAAAUCAAAAAACCAAAAACCAAAAAAUAUGUGUAUCAAAUAAAAAUAAAUAAACUAAGGUGUUUAUGAGGCCAACGUCCAUUUACAAAAUUCUGGGCCUAAAUUAAACCCAAACCGAUUAACCCAAACUUAAUUUCAGGCUUAAACCCAAACCUAUAGCUUAACAAUUAUAUCCAAAAUCCUUAACCCAAUAAACCUAGCCCAAAUGACCCAAUAAUCCUAACCCAUGUAUAGAAUUUCAGGCUUAAAUUAAAACCCAAGCAAUCCACUCAAUGCCCAGACCCGAUUCCAGUAGCCCAAAUCUGAGACCCAACAGAACCCAAAGAAACUCAGCAGCCGAGAAACUUCUGGAAUAUGCUAGAAUAGUGCCAAAGGGUCGGGCUCCCACGAGCGGUUCCCAACAUGGCCUCCUUCACGAGAGCCUCCCCUCGUUCCUCUGUACAGUCGAGCCUGCAAAAAGAAUACACCAGAAGGAGCCAAUAACAGCAUACAUAGCAAAUGACAGUAGGAAAAUAGGAUUUUCAAUUUUUUACUUAUUUUGUAAAUCUGGCUAUAAAAAGCCAUUGAUGUAAUCCUUUUAAUCUUACGCACACUAUACGCAUACGAAAUACAAGAGAGGCAACCCAAAAAUUAUAAGGUGAUCCUAUUUUUUUUGUUUUUGCAAUUUACUUCUUUUUUGGUUUUGCAUAUUUAUUAUUUGUGCAGAGAAAAGUAAAAAGGAAGGGUUUACCUUCAUAAGUACACCAUCGGAACCCCUAUCUCCUUCAUCGCAAUCGGAGCUUGAGAUGGGAUCUUUAAGUUAAAAUCAGCAGUCACAAGUGGUUUUUCAAACGGGGAAAAGAGGGGUAUAUACUCAUCGCCAUUCAUCAAAUACAAUGGUGCCAUGACGAUUAAUGAGCUUUUUUUGGCUAAACUUGAUGAGAAUUGAAAGGGUGCUAUGGUUUUGUUUCUUUUGUCAGCCAAAUGAGGGGAAAAUGGGGCAUUAGGGUUUUGAUUCAAUUGUAGCUUGAAGAAAUGGAAGAUUGCCAUUCAAUUUCCUGUAAUUUUGGAUUAAAAAUGAAACGUCGCCGUUUAAGGAUAAGAGAUCCGUGCGUCGACCCGUUCCAGGACCCGGAUCCGCGCCUUAGCUCUUCAAAUGGGGAAUUUGCGCGUUAGAUCCUUCCCCCCGCUCGAGCAUUCAAUUGUGCCUUGUUUGAUUUACUUUGUUUUUUAAAUUUGGCUCCAUAAUUUGCGUGCAUUUUCAUUUUAGUCCGCUACCCAGCGCUGCAUUUUAGGACUUGGAUUAUUUCCAGUUCUAGUCCUUAUACAUUUGCGCGCAUUACAUAUUGGUGUUUUUUUCGAUUAUUUUAUUUGUAAAUUGUCCCUUUUGUUUCAAUUUUGUUUUAAUUAAGUUUUGUAUCCUCAUUUUUUUUAUUCACUGCACAUUCAUUUUCUUUUACAUGCUUGAUUACUUGCUUUGAUAUUUUGAGUUGCUUUGAUAAUUGAAUUUUGUGUUAAAAAACAUUAUUAUAAUCUUUUCUCUUUUAUUCUAUCAUUUUAAUAAUUUUUAUACUAUUUGUAAUAAAGUUUAUUUUAGUUUAUGUAUGCCAUUAAUUUUAUGAUAUUUUAUAAUUUCUUUUGAAUUUAUUCACAUAUUUUAAUGUUUAUCUUCUUUUUGUUAGUUAAGGAGAAAUUCAUCCAUUUUAUGUGUCAUUUAAGUUAUUAUUAAACAUAUAUUUAAUACUUAUAUUUUACCUACAUACGUUAUUAAAGCCAUGUUAUUUUAUACAUAUAGUUUUUUUUGUAUAUUUGUAUAUAUAAUUGUGUUUUUUAAAAUUUAUUACAUAUAUAAUUUAUGAUAAAAUUAAGUUAAUCUUAUAAUUCAUAUUUUAAUUCCAUGUUAUUUUAACAUACUAUUAUUUCUAAAAUUUCUUCACAUGUACAUAACCCAUAUUAAAUUAUUUUUACUAUAGUCCACGUUAUUGACUUCAUAUUAUUCUAUGUAAAUAUAUAUUUUUUUAUGUAUGUAUAUAUAUUUUCCUUUAAAAUUAUUUAUGUGUAUAAUGCGUUUCUUCUAAGGACCAUAUUUUAAAUUGAACAAUUUACUUAUUGUAUACACUUUUAUAUCUUAUUAUCUUUAUGUAUGUAUUAUCAAAAUGUGUCAUUAAUCCAAAUCAAUUUAUUUCAUGUAAAAUUAUUUUAUACAUCAUUUAUUUCAAAAUUCCAUUUGCACAUACAUAUAUAUUGGAACAUAUGCUUGAUGUAUAAACAUCACUAAAUUCAUGCAUUUUAUACAUAUAGCUUUUUAUACAUAAUUAUAUUUUUAAAAAAAAUCUGUUACAUAUAUAAUUUACGGAAAAAUUAAUUUUAUAUACAUUAUUAAUCUCAUGCUGUUCUUAACAAAUAAUUACUUCUAAAUCUAUUUAGAUAUAUAUAUAUAUAUAUGUUUUGUAAAUCUAUUAUGUGUAUUUCCUAAGAUUAUAUCUUAUUAAGUAUUCUUGCUAUCCUUUCAUAUUUUAUAUAUUAUUAAAUUGACCGUUAUGGUAUAUAUUUUAACAAAUGUUUUUAACACCUUGUAUGUUAUUUGGUCUAAAAAUCUUUAUUCUAUAAUGCAUAUUUUAAUGAGUACAUAUAUAUCUCUAGUUUGUUUUUACAAAUAGUUUCAAAUUCAUCACAUCAAUUCAUAUAUUAUGUGUUCAUCAUUAUUUAAAAUUUGCCUUAUACCACAUUUUUUCUAUUUUUUUUCAUUUUGUUAUGUAUAUUUUACAUUGGUUGUAUUAUAUUAGGUUAGAAAUCAUUGUUGUACUAUUUCUUUCAUUUUUAUUGUUAUCUCAAUUGUUCCCCAUACAUGCUAGGAAGGAUGGUUUCAUUUUGCUUAGAUUAGCUAUAUUCAGUUAUUUGAUAUAGUCGGUUAAGGAAGGUUAUGUUAUUGAAUUUCAAUUAAAAUUAAUAUGUUUUGAGUUUACGAAUCUUUUAAAAAAAAUCCUAAAAUAAGGCAAUGUUCAGUAUUUAAAAAUUCAAGAAAUCGUGCCCUACCGUGCUUGGUUUCGAUUUUUCGUUGGACUAAAUAUUUAGACACCCUUUUGUAACUUUUGUCUUAAGAGCUUUUCGAAGUCAAAACUUGAUCGUGUUCUCAAAAGUAUAAAGGAUUAUGUCCUAUCGUGUUGGAUGUGAUGCUUUAUACCUUUGAAACGAGAAAGUUUUGACGACCACCUUAAACCACUCAAAUGUUUUAAAAGGAACCAUGUUUUAAAUUUUUGAAAAACCCUAGACAUAAAGACAACAAUUAAUCAAUCUGGUACCAGUUUUUGGGCGUAGUGAGGGUGCUAAACCUUCCUCAUAUGUAACCGACUCCCGAACCCAUUUUUAAAUUUACGUGGACCAAAAUUGAUUUAAAUGAAACAAAAUGUUUUAUUAGGUAAUCCAAUACACCUAAACAAAAAGAUUGGUGGCGACUCUACAUUUGGUUUUAAAAAGUCGAUCCCCGUUGUUUUUUUCAAAAUAAAAAAUAGUUUCGACAGCUUGGUGACUCCAUUGGGGAUUGAACAAGAGAGUCAAGCCAUAAAAUUGAUUAUUGGUUGUCCUGUUGUCAAAGAAUUGAAAAUUUGUUUUGAAAAUCAUGAUUCUUUUGAUUGCAUUUGUUUGUAUUAUUGUUGUGAGAAGCUAUGCCUCCGUGAGGUUUUCACCUCCGUAUGGGCUAGUGGAUUGCUUCCGAGAUACAUCUGUACGUAUGAUUUCGUGAGAUUUUCAUCUCUGCAUGGUCAUAGAAAAAUGUAUUCCCCUGAACUGAACUUGAUCCAUAUGAGCCUAUAAUGGGUGAGGAUUGAGGAAUCUGCUGGUUCAGGUACCAUCUCUGUAGAACCGGAUCACAUAUAGUGAACCUUAAGAGCCUUCUUUAGGUGGAGCUAGGUUAAACUUUAGUAGUUACCCAUAUAUGUGUUUUGAUUAUCUUUUGCUUGUAUUUUAUUAUUUAUAUCUGAUACUGACUUGUUGUGUUUUGUUUUGAUUGUGUUUUGCAUAACAUUGCAUAUUAAAGGAGGUUUUGAUUCGUAUUCGAUUAUUAAGUUAGAAGAUUUAACAUGGAGGAUGAAUUUUUUAGUAAAGUUGAGGAUAAUACGGCUGUCCAUGCAUGGUCAGAGAAGUUAGAAUCAGAGAAAGGGGAUAGCCUGGCAAAAGGAUAUACAUCAGAGUUAAAGAAUUUCACUCGCAUCAAUGUGACACAGAAUGAAUUGCAAGAGUUGAAAGAUAUAUGGGCUCGAUGGGAUGAGGGAACCAAACAGUUGUUCUAUCAGAGCUAUAGUGAUAUAGCUUACUUGCUCGAUAUUAAGGUGGACAAGCAUCUGUUUCGAGUUAUGGCUCAAUUUUGGAAUUUACUUUUGGGGAAGUGGAUUUGGUGCCUACCGUAGAGGAAUAUACUACCCUGCUGAGGUGUCCAAAACUUCAAGUUAGAAAAGCUUAUGUUAAGGUUUUUAAUGGUCCAACUUUUGCGAAGAAAUUGAUGAAUAUUUCGGGGAUGAGUGAGCCUUGGGUCAUUGCUCGAAUUCAACAAAAGGGGGAUAGUAAAUGUAUUCAUUGGGAGAAUCUAAGAGAUUUGUUUUCGACACAUCCAGAUGAAAGGAAGAGGUUCAAUAUCUUCGCCUUAAGUAUCUAGGGAUUGGUGGUUUUUCCUAAGGCUUUAAGGCAUGUGGAUGAAGCAGUCACUGACUUAUUCGAUCGUCUUGAGAACUGUACCUACAAUAUUGGCCGAGACGUUCAGAUCCUUGAGCAUGUGUCGAAGGACAAACAAAGGUCGAUUUAUUGGAUGUGCACAGCUAUUGAUGGUUUAGUUUCAUGGGCAUUUUUGGAAAGUGAACAAGGUUUCUUACUGGGUCUUCUCUGAAAGCUAUUCCCUAUUAAAGGAGGAGACAGCUAUGCAAAGGAGAAACGAUAUUUCAGAGGAGAAAUGGAUGGAAAUUCUUCAAAAUCUCAAGGAGGAGGAUAUAGAGUGAAGACCUUUUUGGAUGGUUCCUUACGAGAUCCUGUACCGAUGUGAGAAUUUUGAUUGGGUACCAUUGUUAGAAAUUUGGGGAGCUACCGGGUAUACUCCUUUACUUGCAUUAAGGCAGUAUAAAUCAAGGCAGUUUAUACCCACGACUUACGGGCUUGAUUAGUGUGAAUUCCUAUAUAAAGGUGACCAUUAUAAGAAGAAGGUUCGGGAAAUAUCUGAUGCUUGGAAGUAAAUUCAUUGGAUGAAGAGGUUGGCUAUCGGUUCUAUGAAAACACCUGAGUACGGUAGAUGGUUUAGGAAAAGGGUCAAUGAUAAUAUUCCUAGACUAAGUUUAGAAGACACUCGACCAAUGGAGAAACAAUUACAAGUUGCCCCAUCAGAGUUGGAAAUUAUAAAGCAAGACUUUGAGAAGAAGAGUUCUGAGCUUGGGAAAAGGAUUGAGCAGUUGAAGGAAGAGAAAAUGCACCUGAAAUUAGAUAGGAGGUUCAGAAGUCAGAGGCAGGAAAGUUACGAAAAAGGAAGAUUGAGGUGGAGGAGGAUUUGAAAAAUUUAAAGACAGAUUAUAAGAAGCUACGCCUGUUGAUGAGGACUGCUGGGUUAGGUAAAACUUCAGAGCAAUGGCGUCAGGAAGUUCGAGAGGAAAAUAUUAAGCCAGAUCAGUAGGAAAUGAGGUUCUAGGAGGUUCAAGCUCGAAACGAGGUCUUAGAGAAAAGUCUGUCAGAGAGUAAAAAUAAACAAAAUGAAUUAAGGGCUACAGUAUCGGAACUUGAGAGAUCUCUAUGUUUGUACUAGAAUCACAAUUUUGUAGUAGAGUUAAGAGCAAGCUUAAGCAAGAUCGAAGAGAUGAAAGGGAAAAUAAAAGAAUUAGAGACGGUGUUGCAAAGUUGUGAAAUGAGGAUUGAGUUUUUGGAGGCAAAUAAGGAGUAAUGGAAAGGUCAAUUUCAUUAUUCUCAAGAUCAAGUUAGAAGCAGAGAUUACAUCAUGGGGGAAGCUGUAACACAAAUUCGAGAAGUAGCUGAUUACUUGCAGUCUUUGGCAACACAAGUAGACAUAUUAAGUGUGAAGUAUGAGUUGGAGUCAGGCAAGGGAUAGGAACUAGCUUCAUUGCUCAGGAAAAUUAAGGCUCUGAGCAUUAGGGCGAAGUCUUAUUUGUAACUCAUUUUUAUGUAAAGAAUUUUAUUUUCUAGUAAACUUUUCUAAAUGGAAUUGAAUCAGAAUUGAUGCCUCCUUUGCAUUCAUGCAUUUGCAUUACAUUACAUCGCAUGCAUUAAAGGCUAUAAAAAGAUUCUAAUUAAUUAAAAAUUAUUUUAGUAAUCUGGAAACCAACAAAAACACACCAAAUAUGCAUCCCUACGGUACAAGGAAAAAAACUAAGUCAAUGGACAAAAGGCUAGAAAAGUUAGAGCGAAUGCAAAAGGAUAUGCAAGAGCAAAUGUAGUCACAGAUGCAAAGGCAGCUAGCUAAGAUUCAACAAGAGAUGAAAGAUCAAAUGAUGGAGUCCCAAAGAGAAAUGAUGAGUCAGUUGUCCCAAUUGCUGAUGAGAAGAAUGGAUAAGGGAAAAGGUCCUAUGGAUAAUGUUGGGGAAAAUAAUGAAGACCCUCAAUAUCCUCCUGGCUUCACUCCUACACAUGUACAGGCACAACCUGAGAUUAAUUUGCAGAAAUCAUCUGUUACAAUCAGGCCUCAGCAGUUUCAGGCUGGAGUGUCAAUACCAAUGAAUUUUCAGGCUGGAUCAAGUUUUAAUCCUGGUAAUAACUUAAAUAAUCCAAUAGUGCCUGAUUUGGAUGAAGUUGUGAAAGAGGAAAAGGCAAGGACAGAAUCACAGAAACAAUUAGAGGAAUGGUGUAAAUGGCUGGAGGAAAAGGUUCGGGAAAUGGAAGGUGUUGACAGACAUCCUGGAAUUGAUGCAAAAGAUCUGAGUUUGGUCCCAGACUUAGUACUUCCAUACAAAUUUAAGAUGCCAGAAUUUGAGAAGUACAAUGGAACGAGCUGUCCUAAAGCUUAUAUCACUAUGUUCUGCAGAAGAAUGACUGGGUAUGUUAAUAACGAUCAAUUGUUGAUUCAUUGCUUCCAAGAUAGUUUGGUGGGAGUAGCAGCUAAAUGGUACAAUCAGUUGAGUUGAAAUAGAAUUAAUUCAUAGAGAGAUCUGGCACAAGUAUUCAUAAAGUAGUAUAGCCAUGUAACAGAUAUGACUCCUGAUAGAAUUACUUUGCAGAAUAUGGAGAAAAAACCAAACGAAAUUUUUAAGAAAUAUGCACAGAGAUGGAGAGAAGUGGCCAUCCAGGUUCAGCCGCCGCUCUUGGAGAAGGAAAUUACAAUGUUCUUUAUUAAUACCUUAAAAGCUCCAUUCAUAACUCACAUGUUAGAAAGUGCCACAACGAGUUUUGCGGAUGUGGUAAUGACGGGAGAAAUGAUUGAGAAUGCCAUAAGAAAUGGAUGGAUAGAUGCAAGAGAAAGUGCCAAAAGGUCUGCCCUAUGGAAAAAGGAGAAUGAGGUAAACAAUGCAAACGUGGGAUAUUCAAAGUCUGUUACUGUAAGUCAACCAAAAGCGGCAACUGUUGGUCAUGGUUCAUCAAGGCAGGAAUCUGGAACAAGGCAGAACAAUGAGAAGAUUCAAUUUACACCAAUUCCCAUGACGUGUAAAGAGUUAUAUCAAAGUUUGUUCGAUGCGCAUGUGGUGGCACCUUUUUAUUUAAAGCCGUUACAUCCUCCGUUCCCUAAAUAGUAUGAUGCCAAUGCUCAAUGUGAGUAUCACGCGGGAAUUGUAGGACAUUUGAUAGAAAAUUGCACUACUUUUAAGAAACUGGUUGAAAGAUUUAUUUAAAUGGGCAUUGUGAAGUUCGAUAAUGCGUCCAGUAUAGAAAAUUUUCUACCUAGUCAUACUGAUAGUGGAAUAAAUGCAGUAGAUGGAGGUAUGGAAAAAAGAACCAAGGUGGAUGUUUCAGAAGUAAAAACUCCUUUGAAAUGGGUUUAGAAGAGGAUGGCAAGAAAGGGGUUAGUUACUUCAAAUUUAGAAAGAAGUGAUGAUGAGGUAGAGAAUUAUUGUGAGUUUCGUCAUGAAGAGGGGCACAGAAUUCAAGAAUGUGAAGAGUUAAGGCUUGAUGGGCAACAAGGAAAUCGAAUUUUAUGAAUAAAUUAUAGAGGAAGAGUAUAUAUGCGCGUCAGAACCUGUGUCAAGUGUCUCAAAAGUCAAUUAUCCUGUGGUUAUUAUUUCGUGUCCUAAGAAAGAAGCAGGAGUUCAGACGACACCAACGUUCAUAAUUCAGAAGCCAGCGAUUUUCUUUUACAAUAAUAGUAAAAGGGUCCCCUAGAACUAUGAUUGUAAUGUGAUAAUCCUGGGAAAAGAGAGUUCAGUCAACCCGUCAAAAGAGGAUCAAAAUAUAGGUUCUCACACAUGCAGUGGAAGACGAUAUGAUUUGACAAACACCCGAGCAGAACCUGUGAAAGGAAUAAAUAUGAUGGUCGAACAAAAGAAAGGAAAAGCGGUCAAACUUGGGGUGCCUGUUAAUGAACUAGUGAAAGAAGAAGAAGCUAAAGAGUUCUUAAAAUUUCUGAAGCAUAGUGAAUACAGUGUGAUGGAACAGUUGCAUAAACAACCAGCCCGUAUAUCUAUAUUAGCUUUGCUUCUAAGCUCAGAAGUGCAUUGAAGUGCAUUGAUGAAAGUUCUAAAUGAGACAUAUGUGACCAAUGAUAUUUCUGUCAACAAGUUAGACCGGUUGGUGAAUAACAUAAGUGCUGAUAACUUCAUCUUCUUCAAUGAUGACAAGAUACCACAAGGAGGAAUGAGAUCUACAAAAGCUUUGCAUAUUACUACCAAAUGUAAAGGAUAUACAUUGCCAGGGGUUCUGGUUGACAAUGGGUCGGCAUUAAAUGUAUUGCCCUUAUCCAGGUUAAACAGGUUACCUGUGGAUAGCUCACACAUGAAGGGAUGUUAGAAUAUAGUGCGAGCAUUUGAUGGCACGGAAAAGAGAGUCAUGGGAAGAAUAGAAAUACCUUUGCUGAUUGGCCCAACUAUGUAUGAGGUAGAUUUCUUAGUAAUAGAUAUUAGGCCCUCUUACAACUGCUUGUUGGGGAGACCUUGGAUACAUUCGGCAGGGGCAGUGCCUUCGUCAUUACAUCAGAAGUUAAAGCUAGUAUUAGAAGGGCGGUUGGUGAUGAUAAAUGCUGAAGAGGACAUUAUUGCAACUGUAAGCAGUGACGCACCAUAUUUAGAGGCAGAUGAUGAAGCUAUUGAGUGUUCUUUUCGAUCUUUGGAGUUUGUGAAUGCAACAUUCAUCACUAAGGGAAGUAGAAUUCUGGAGCCAAAAAUGUCUAAAACUACGAUGAUGAGUUUACAGUUGAUGGUAGGACGUGGAGCUUUACCAGGAAAGGGACUUGGGAGAUGUCUCCAGGGAAGAAUUGUGGUUCCAAUGCUGAAAGAAAAGUAUGAUCGCUUUGGUUUGGGGUUCAAGCCAGAUGCAAGACGAAGGAAAAGGGAACUGGAAAGAAGGCAGGAAAGAAGAAGAGUCCGUGUGAGUGGUGGAGAAAUUAAGUGGGAGCCCAUGAUAAUUCCUCACAUCUCGAAGUCUUUUGUAUCAGGAGGCAUUAUUUAUCAUGAACGAGGGAUGCCAAAAAAAGAAAGCAUGGAGGACAAUUGAAAAAUGUGCACAUCAAUGCCAUAUUUGAAGAGACAAUUCAAGAGGGCAUUUCGGCAGAUAUUCGUCCAUAUGAGCCUAGGAGUGUUCUAGACAAUUGGACUGCAGAAGACCUUCUUGUAAUUUUUAGAGCUUAUUCAGAGUAAUGUUCGAAAUAAACUUGUUGUUUUAAGCCUAGAGGCAAUAAGGAUUUCUUUGUGAAAUAGGCUCAUGUUCAAACGUCAUUAUUUCAAUGAAGUACAUUUUUUUGCUAUCAUUUUGAGCAAAUAUUGUUUUAUUCUUUUCAUAAGUAAUUGUGUUAUUUUUCCAUUUAAAAUAAUCAUCCUGAUUCUUUCUUCAAUCAUUCUUUUAUUUUAUUCAUAAACAUACCAUACAAAACAAUAAUUAUCAAAUUCAUUCAUUAUUUGUAUAUUUUUUGUACCUAUAAUAGGUCCCUGGAUAUCAAUAUCAUGAGUGAUGCUGUUACUGACUCAGAAUCACUAUUUGAGUAAGACAUGUGUUUAGAGGGAUCUCAGGACUUUGAAGAUGACAGAGACUGGGAUUUAUCUUCGGACUUGUGAAGGAUGGUAGAACAAGAGGAAAAAUCAAAUUUCACCUCAUAAAGAAGUAGUGGACAUGGUGACUCUAGAAGAGGGGAAAGUUGUAAAAAUUGGAACAUGCAUAACUAAAGAAACAAAGCGAGACCCUAUUGGGUUGCUUCAGGAAUUCAAAGAUGUUUUUUCAUGGUCAUACCAGGAUAUGCCCGGUUUAAGCACUGAUAUUGCAGUGCAUUGCCUUCCCAUAAAAGAAGAUUGCAAGCCAGUACAGCAGAAACUUCGAAGAAUGAGGCCAGAUAUUAUCUUAAAGAUAAAGGAGGAAGUCAAAAAGCAAUUUGAUGCUGGAUUCCUUCAGGUAAUCAAAUACUCAGAGUGGGUAGCCAAUGUUGUUGCUGUUCCCAAGAAAGAAGGCAAAGUGCGAAUGUGUGUGGAUUAUAGAGAUCUAAAUAAAGCUAGCCCAAAGGAUAAUUUUCCCUUGCCUCAUAUUGAUACGCUAGUGGACAAUACAGUUGGUUACUCAUUGUUUUCCUUCAUGGAUGGCUUAUCGGGGUACAAUCAGAUAAAGAUGCAUCCUGAGGACAUGGGAAAGACUACUUUCAUAACCUUGUGGGGCACGUUUUGUUACAACGUGAUGCCAUUUGGAUUAAAGAAUACUAGAGCAACAUAUCAAAAGGCCAUGGUAACCUUAUUUCAUGAUAUGAUGCACAAGGAAAUUGAAGUUUAUGUUGAUGAUAUGAUAGUAAAUCUCGAAAUGAAAAGGAGCACAUCCAAGUGUUGAGAAAGUUGUUCAUGAGAUUGAGAAAAUUUUAAUUAAAGCUUAAUCCAACCAAGUGUACUUUUGGGGCUAGAUCCGGAAAGUUAUUGGGGUUUGUAGUCAGUGAGAGAGGAAUUGAGAUUGAUUCAGACAAAGUCCGGGCCAUACAAGGGUUGUCUCCACCACGCACUCAAAAAGAAGUUCGAGGCUUCCUGGGAAGACUAAAUUACAUUGCACGGUUUAUUUCUCAAUUAACAGAGAAAUACAACCCCAUAUUUUGUCUUCUUAAAAAGCAUAACCCAGGAGAGUGGGAUGAUGAAGCCAAAGAGCUUUUGAUAAAGUUAAAAAAUAUUUGUCGAGUCCUCCAGUGUUAUCACCUCUAAGUUCAGACAGGCCAUUGAUACUAUAUUUAACUGUGUUUGGUAAUUCUAUGGGAUGUGUGCUUGGUCAACAUGAUGAAUCAGGAAUAAAAGAAAAGGCGAUAUAUUACCUCAGUAAGAAAUUCACUGGGUGUGGUUGAGAUAUUCGCCAAUUGAAAAAUUGUGUCGUGCUUUAGUUUGGACAGCUCAGAGGUUGAGGCAAUAUAUGUUGUACCAUACGACUUGGUUAAUCUCAAAGUUGGAUCCUCUAAAAUAUAUGAUGGAGUCAAAUGCCUUGAAUGAAAGGAUGACUAGGUGACAAAUUUUGCUUUCUGAAUUUAACAUAAUCUACGUGAGUCAAAAAGCUAUGAAAGAGAGCGCGAUAACAGAUUUUUUGGCCAGUCGAGCUUUAGAAGAUUAUGAGCCUUUGAAUUUUGAUUUCCCCAAUGAAGAGACAGUGUAUGUGGCAGCUACUGAAGAGGACGCUACAAAAGAUCUCUCUUGGAAGUUGAAUUUUGAUAGAGCUUCAAACGCUGUGGGUAAUGGGUGUUAGAGCAGUCUUGGUGUCCCCGAGUGGAGAUCAUUAUCCAUUCACAUGUAAAUUGGAUUUUGAUUGUACGAAUAUUAUGGCAGAAUAUGAAGUAUGUAUCAUGGGGCUCAGAGCAGCUAUAGAGAACAAGAUCAAGUCAUUGGAGGUAUAUAGAGAUUCUGCGCUGGUAAUUUACCAACUUCGAGGCGAAUGGGAGACAAGAGAUUCCAAACUAAUCAAUUACAGAAGGUUGGUGUUAGGGUUAGUUAAAGAGUUUGAUGAUAUUACUUUCAAUUAUCUCCCGUGUGAUGAAAACCAGAUGGCAGAUGCUUUGGCUACUUUGGCUUCCAUGAUCAAAGUAAGUAGACAAGAAGAUGUGAAGCCCAUUUAAAUGAGUAUUUGUGAGGCCCUGUCUUAUUGUUAUAAUAUAGAGGAAGAGGAGAGAGAUGAUCACCCUCGGUACCAGGAUAUAUUAUGAUACGUGGAAAAUCGUGAAUAUCCAGAUCAAGCAACAGAGAAUGACAAAAGGACGUUGAGAAGGCUAGCCUGUGAUUAUGUUUUAGAUGGGGAGAUCCUGUACAAAAGAAGAAAGGAUCAAGUACUUUUGAGGUGUAUGGACGCUGUGGAAGCCAAGAAAAUCUUGGAAGAAGUGCACAAAGGUGUUUGUGGAACACACGCUAAUGGGUUCACAAUGGCCAGGCAAAUUAUGAGAUUUAGAUAUUAUUGGUCAACUAUGGAGGGAGAUUGUAUCAAUUAUGCUAAGAAAUGUCACAAAUGUCAAAUUUAUUGUGAAAAGAUUCAUGUACCUCCCUCGUCUUUGUAUGUUAUGACUUCCCUAUGGCCGUUUUCCAUAUGGGACAUGGAUGUCAUAGGGCCAAUUUCAUCGAAGGCUUCAAAUGGGCAUCGUUUCAUUUUUGUGGUCAUUGAUUAUUUCACCAAGUGGAUGGAAGCUGCCUCGUACGCUAAUGUAACUUAAUCGGCAGUCAGCAGAUUUUUAAAGAAGGAAAUUAUAUGUCGAUAUGGAAUGCCUGAGAGGAUCAUAUCUGAUAAUGCGUUAAAUUUGAACAAUAGCACAAUAGUAGAGGUCUGCAGUCAGUUCAAGAUUAGACAUCAUAAUUCAUCACCAUAUCGCCCAAAGAUGAAUGGAGUAGUGGAAGCAGCCAAUAAAAAUAUCAAGAGGACUGUGGGGAAAAUGGCUGAAACUUAUAGAGAAUGGCAUGAGAAGUUGCCAUAUUCUCUUUAUGCUUAUCGAACGUCUGUCAAAACUUCUACUGGGGCAACGCCUUUCUCGUUAGUCUAUGGAAUGGAAGCUGUUCUACCCAUUGAGGUGGAGAUACCUUCUCUUCGAGUUUUGUCAAAAUUGAAAUUAGAUAAAGCAGAAUGGAUACAGUCUCGAUAUGAUUAGUUGAAUUUGAUUGAUGAAAAGAGGCUAAAGGCUAUCCAACAUGGUUAGAUGUAUCAAAAAAGAAUGAUGCAAGCUUAUGACAAAAAGGUUCACCCAAGGGAAUUUCAUGAGGGAGAUUUGAUUUUGAAAAAGAUUCUUCCUAUACAAAAGGAUUUUAGAGGAAAAUGGAUGCCAAAUUAGGAGGGGCCUUAUGUAGUGAACAAAGCUUUCUCCGGAGGAGCAUUAAUCCUGGCUGAAAUGGAUGGAAGAAACUUGUCUAAUCUAGUAAACUCGGAUUCAGUCAAAAAAUAUUAUACCUAAUGAAGGGAAGAAGCCAAAGUGAAAACCCGCAAAGGGCGCUUUGAGAUUUAAAAAAAAAAGGACCAAAGUGAAAACCCGCAAAGGGCACUUUGAGACCUAAUAAAAAUGAAAAAGGGCCAAAGUGAAAACCCACAAAGGGCGCUUUGAGACUCAAUAAAAAUAAAAAAAAAACAAAAAGAGAAAAAGUGGAGGCCAAGGUGAAAACCCGCAAAGGGCGCUUUGGACCAAAGGGGAUUUGAGUUGAAAACCCGAAAAGGGCGGCUCAAAUGUUGAUUUAAAAUGGGGAAGGAGAUAACUUUACUAUACCUGAAUUAAUAAGGAAAGGGUAUGUUGCAUCUUGGGGCAUUGAUAAAGUACUUCUGAUCUUCUAAACACAUGUCAAGUUUGGGUUAGUCUUCAAGAAGUUCGUAGAGAGAAGCUCAGUUUGCGAUAGCAAGGGUACCUAGUCUUUAUUGUAUUUCUAAAAAAUUGACUAUCUUUGAAUUAUCCUUUCUUUUUCAAGAUAUACAUUCCCAAAUCAAUGGCCAUUGUUGUUCAUUUGAUGAUUUAUUUACUUUGAGCUCAAGUUCAAUUCCAUUCUUAUCCAUUAUUACGAUUUGAUUGCAAGCAUGUUGCAUUGACAUUAUGAUGAAUGAACUAGUAAUGUUUUUACAAUAGAAGUUUUGCAUAUUACUCUAGGAGUUUCUAGAUAAUACAAGAAUCUAAAACAAGACUAUUGUUUAGAAUGCACCAAAGUUCAAAGACAUACUUGAAUAAAUCGCCUUUUUAGAUUUCUGAGCAAAAGGUCAAGAUAUGGCGUUGGUGAUACAAUAAUCAAUACAAAAAGGAAUUAUUCUCGAGAAAGGGGAAAUGAUAUUUUGUAUCCUUGCAAAUAUCAAACAUGCACACCUGGCUAUGACACUUGAGGAGUGAGGUAACAGAUCGAACAAAUAAAAGUUCAAAUAUGGGUUUCAAUGUUUUUUCUCAGAACGAAUAAUGUAAAGGACGUUGGAAUUACAGUGGGGCAAGCUUGCUGAGAAGAAUAUGAUCGUUGUUUUGUUGAGAUGAUAGUUGAGAGAAUACAUCGAUGACAACAUACUGAUGAACAAUGAGUGAUGAUGCCUUAAAUUUUAAAAUGGAAUUAUUCACAUUUCUGCAUAUAUCAUUCAUACCACAUUUAGUUAGGAGCAUUGGAUUCAUUUCAAUCAUAGCAUCCUAAUUAUUUGGCAUAAACAUGCGCAUAUAAAAUGGAAUCUAUAGGACAUGUUCCCCAGAGGACAGUGUAGCGACAUUGAUGAAGUUAGAUCUUAUCUCCCUAAAAAGUAGCGGAGCAGAUCGAAGAUGGCGAAUCUUAUCUCCAUGUAUCGGCAAUGGAGCAAAUUUAAGUCCCAAGCCUUAUCUCUCUGAGGUAGCAAGAGAGCAGGUAGAAGAUUGAGUCUUAUCUUCCUGAGGUAGCAAGAAAACAGACUGAAGAUUGAAGAUCUUAUCUCUCUAAACAGUAGUGGAGCAGAUCGAAGAUGGCGAAUCUUAUCUCUAUGUAUCGGCAAUGAAGUAGAUUUAAGCCCCAAGCCUUAUCUCUCUGAGGUAGCAAGAGAGUAGGUUGAAGAUUGAGUCUUAUCUUCCUGAGGUAGCAAGGAACCAGACUGAAGAUUGAAGAUCUUAUCUCCCUAAACAGUAGAGGAGCAGAUUAAAGAUGGCGAAUCUUAUCUCCAUGUAUCGAAAAUGGAGCAAAUUUAAGCCCCAAGCCUUAUCUCUCUGAGGUAGCAAGAGAGCAGGUUGAAGAUUGAGUCUUAUCUUCCUGAGGUAGCAAGGAAGCAGACUGAAGAUUGAAGAUCUUAUCUCCCUAAGCAAUAGUGGAGCAGAUCGAAGAUGGCGAACCUUAUCUCCAUGUAUCGACAAUGGAGCAGAUUAAGCCCCAAGCCUUAUCUCUCUGAGGUAGCAAGAGAGCAGGUUGAAGAUUGAGUCUUAUCUUCCAGAGGUAGCAAGGAAGCGACUGAAGAUUGAAGAUCUUAUCUCCUCAAAUAGUAUAGAAGCAGAUCGAAGAUAGCGAAUCUUAUUUCCAUGUAUCGGCAAUGGUGCAGAUUUAAGCCCCAAGUUUUAUCUCUCUGAGAUAACAAGAGAGCAGGUUAAAGAUUGAGUCUUAUCUUUCCGAGGUAGCAAGAAAGUAGAUUGAAAAUUGAAGAUUUUAUCUCCCAAAGCAAUAGUGGAGCAGAUCAAAAGAGGCGACUCUUAUCUCCAUGUAUUGGCAAUGGAGCAGAUUUUAGCCGCUAGUCUUAUCUUUUUGAGGAAUCAAGAGAGCAGAUUGGCAAUUGUAGUCUUAUCUUCCUAAGUUAGCAAAGAAGCAGACUGAUUGUAGAUCUUAUCCCUUUAAGAAAACAGAUCGAAAUUGACAAUUUUUAGUGGAGUAUAUCCCUGAAGAUGGUGAGACUGACUACGAUUACUUAAAGAAGAAGAGUGACAAAGAGGACAGGAUUCAGCAAAACCGGGCAAAAUUGGCCCUUUUAAAGUCUUUGCUCUAUUCUCAUUACACGACAAUGAGCAAAGAGGGGCAGCUGUAAUAGGCCCAAUUUGCCCAGGCCUAUAAUAAAUCAAAAACCAAAAACCAAAAACCAAAAAAUAUGUGUAUCAAAUAAAAAUAAAUAAACUGAGGUGUUUAUGAGGCCAACGUCCAUUUACAAAAUUCUGGGCCUAAAUUAAACCCAAACAGAUUAACACAAACUUAAUUUCGAGCUUAAACCCAAACCUAUAGCUUAACAAUUAUAUCCAAAAUCCUUAACCCAAUAAACCUAGCCCAAAUGACCCAAUAAUCCUAACCCAUGUACAAAAUUUUGGGCUUAAAUUAAAAGCCAAGCAAUCCACUCAAUGCCUAGACCCGAUUCCAGUAGCCCAAAUCCGAGACCCAACAGAACCCAAAGAAACUUAGCAGUCAAGAAACUUCUGGAAUAUGCAAGAAUAGUGCCAAAGGGUCGGGCUCCCACUAGCGGUUCCCGGCACGGCCUCCUUCACGCGAGCCUCCCCUCGUUCCUCUGUACGGCCGAACCUGCAAAAAGAAUACACCAGAAGGAGCCAAUAACAGAAUACACAGCAAAUGACAGUAGGAAAAUAGGAUUUUCAAUUUUUUACUUAUUUUGUAAAUCUGGCUAUAAAAAGCCAUUGAUGUAAUCCUUUUAAUCUUACGCACACUAUACGCAUACGAAAUACAAGAGAGGCAACCCAAAAAUUAUAAGGUGAUCCUAUUUUUUUUUGUUUUUGCAAUUUACUUCUUUUUUGGUUUUGCAUAUUUAUUAUUUGCGCAGAGAAAAGUAAAAAGGAAGAGUUUACCUUCAUAAGUACACCAUCGGAACCCCUAUCUCCUUCAUCGCAAUCGGAGCUUGAGAUGGGAUCU